GAGAGGUGGGGGGUGGACGAGAGGGAGAGAGGUGGGGUGGACGAGAGGGAGAGAGGUGGGGUGGACGAGAGGGAGAGGAGAGGGAGAGAGGUGAGGUGGAGGAGAGAGGGAGAGAGAUGGGGUGGAAGAGAGAUGAGGUGGGAGAGAGGGGGAGAGGUGAGGUGGAGGAGAGAGGGAGAGAGGUGAGGUGGGAGAGAGGGGGAGAGGUGAGGUGGAGGAGAGAGGGAGAGAGAUGAGGUGGAGGAGAGAGGGAGAGAGGUGAGGUGGAGGAGAGAGGGGGAGAGGUGAGGUGGAGGAGAGAGGGAGAGAGAUGAGGUGGAGGAGAGAGGGAGAGAGGUGAGAUGGACGAGAGAAACCAACAUCCUUAACAUUCAACAUCCCGAGGCUACUGCAUUAAAAUCUUGCACAGUGUGAGUCAAAAGGUAGAAUGCAACACAAAUCACCACGGAUAACAAAUAGUCAUAAAGACGUGAAGGCCGAUGUGGAGAACUAUAAAGGUCUUACCUGAGCGGCUCGCAGGGACCGGGGAGUGAAGCGGGAGGAAGAGAAGGCGCGCGAUUAUAUAUACGGUGUCGCACCCACCCCUCCGGACUUCCUCAUUCAGACGGGGAGAAACCGGGGCGCGUUCAGU
rnacentral:lncRNA from 1 species